rnacentral:rRNA from 1 species
CCUACGGGAGGCAGCAGUGAGGAAUAUUGGUCAAUGGACGCAAGUCUGAACCAGCCAUGCCGCGUGCAGGACGACGGCUCUAUGCGUUGUAAACUGCUUUUGUACGGGGAUAAACGCAGGUACGCGUAUCUGUCUGAAGGUAUCGUAUGAAUAAGGACCGGCUAAUUCCGUGCCAGCAGCCGCGGUAAUACGGAGGGUCCGGGCGUUAUCCGGAUUUAUUGGGUUUAAAGGGAGCGUAGGCCGCCUGUCAAGCGUGCUGUGAAAUGUCCGGGCUCAACCCCGGCCUUGCAGCGGGAACUGGCGGGCUUGAGUCCGCGGAAGGCAGGCGGAAUUCGCAGUGUAGCGGUGAAAUGCUUAGAUAUGGCGAAGAACCCCGAUUGCGAAGGCAGCUUGCUGCAGGGGAACUGACGCUGAGGCUCGAAAGCGCGGGUAUCGAACAGGAUUAGAUACCCUAGUAGUC